rnacentral:rRNA from 1 species
GAUGAACGCUGGCGGCGUGCCUAAUACAUGCAAGUCGAGCGAACAGACGGGGAGCUUGCUCCUCUGACGUUAGCGGCGGACGGGUGAGUAACACGUGGAUAACCUACCUAUAAGACUGGGAUAACUUCGGGAAACCGGAGCUAAUACCGGAUAAUAUAUUGAACCGCAUGGUUCAAUAGUGAAAGACGGUUUUGCUGUCACUUAUAGAUGGAUCCGCGCCGCAUUAGCUAGUUGGUAAGGUAACGGCUUACCAAGGCAACGAUGCGUAGCCGACCUGAGAGGGGGAUCGGCCACACUGGAACUGAGACACGGUCCAGACUCCUACGGGAGGCAGCAGUAGGGAAUCUUCCGCAAUGGGCGAAAGCCUGACGGAGCAACGCCGCGUGAGUGAUGAAGGUCUUCGGAUCGUAAAACUCUGUUAUUAGGGAAGAACAAAUGUGUAAGUAACUAUGCACGUCUUGACGGUACCUAAUCAGAAAGCCACGGCUAACUACGUG